rnacentral:rRNA from 1 species
GGGUUGUGAGGUUAAGCGACUAAGCGUACACGGUGGAUGCCCUGGCAGUCAGAGGCGAUGAAGGACGUGCUAAUCUGCGAAAAGCGUCGGUAAGGUGAUAUGAACCGUUAUAACCGGCGAUGUCCGAAUGGGGAAACCCAGUGCAAUUCGUUGCACUAUCGUUAACUGAAUACAUAGGUUAACGAGGCGAACCGGGGGAACUGAAACAUCUAAGUACCCCGAGGAAAAGAAAUCAACCGAGAUUCCCCCAGUAGCGGCGAGCGAACGGGGAGCAGCCCAGAGUCUGAAUCAGCUUGUGUGUUAGUGG